rnacentral:lncRNA from 1 species
UCAUAAUAAGGAGCUUAGAUCAACCAAUUAAACAUAAUUCAUACCUUAAGAUCUGAAAAAUAAGUAGACAACCAUGUCGGUGCACCUGAAGAUCAAGAUGACCCAUUGUCUAAACCACCUCAUGAGUAAGUGAUCGAUUAGACCGAGUCUAAGGAGCCAGAUAAAUCUAAGGAGUCAACAGAGAUUAACAAACCAUCCAAGCUACUUAUAGAAUCCAUCUCAGGGUUUAAGCAAUUCGAGACAUCACCCAC